AGUGAACGCUGGCGGUAGGCCUAACACAUGCAAGUCGAACGGCAGCACAGUAAUAGCUUGCUCUUACGGGUGGCGAGUGGCGGACGGGUGAGGAAUACAUCGGAAUCUACUUUUUCGUGGGGGAUAACGUAGGUAAACUUACUCUAAUACCGCAUACGACCUACGGUUGAAAGCAGUGGAUCUUCUGACCUUGCGCGAUUGAAUGCGCCGCUUUCGGAUUAGCCAGUUGGCGGGGUAAAGGCCCACCCAGGCGACGAUCCGUAGCUGGUCUGAGAGGGUGAACAGCCACACAGGAACUGAGACACGGUACAGACUCCUACGGGAGGCAGCAGUGGGGAAGAGUGGACAAUGGGCGCAAGACUGAACCAGCCAUAGCGCGUGGGUGAAGAAGGCCUGCGGGUUGUAAAGCCCUUUUGUUGGGAAAGAAAAGCAGCAGGUUAAUACCACGCUGUUCUGACGGUACCCAAGAAUAAGCACCGGCUAACUUCGUG
rnacentral:rRNA from 1 species